rnacentral:rRNA from 1 species
AGAGUUUGAUUAUGGCUCAGGACAAACGCUGGCGGCGUGCCUAACACAUGCAAGUCGAACGAACCCCUCGGGGUUAGUGGCAGACGGGUGAGUAACACGUAGAUAAUGUACCUUCUCGCUGGGGGAUACCUACCCGAAAGGGUGGUUAAUACCGAAUGAUCUCAUCGGGCGGCAUCGUCUGAUGAGCAAACUGUUAGGGCGGGGAGAUCAGUCUGCGGGCCAUCAGCUAGUUGGUGAGGUAACGGCCCACCAAGGCUACGACGGUUAGCCGGUCUGAGAGGAUGAUCGGCCACACUGGAACUGAGAGACGGUCCAGACUCCUACGGGAGGCAGCAGUGAGGAAUAUUGCGCAAUGGGCGGAGGCCUGACGCAAGCGACGCCGCGUGAGGGAUGAAGGUCUUCGGAUUAGUAAACCUCUGUUAAGCGAAGGGAAGAGAACGGACGGUACCUGCUGAGGAAGCAUCGGCUUACUACGUGCCAGCAGCCGC